CAGCCCCCGAAGGUCGGGGUGCCAACACCCCCCAGCGGAAAAAUGGCCAAAAAACGGGUGGGCUAUAGCCUUGGUGGGGGGCGUGGGCGAAGUUCGUCCGCCGAACUCGGAAUGGCCCCAGACUUUGCGGGCGGCCUCCGUGUGCCAAAAAUAGGCCACGGGCAGAGCCGCGCCCAAAAAUCAGCCCCCGAAGGUCGGGGUGCCAAGACCCCCCAUCGGAAAAAUGGCCAAAAAACGGGUGGGCUAUAGCCUUGGUGGGGGGCGUGGGCGAAGUUCGUCCGCCGGACUCGGAAUGGCCCCAGACUUUGCGGGCGGCUUCCGUGUGCCAAAAAUAGGCCACGGGCAGAGCCGCGCCCAAAAAUCAGCCCCCGAAGGUCGGGGUGCCAACACCCCCCAGCGGAAAAAUGGCCAAAAAACGGGUGGGCUAUAGCCUUGGUGGGGGGCGUGGGCGAAGUUCGUCCGCCGGACUCGGAAUGGCCCCAGACUUUGCGGGCGGCUUCCGUGUGCCAAAAAUAGGCCACGGGCAGAGCCGCGCCCAAAAAUCAGCCCCCGAAGGUCGGGGUGCCAACACCCCCCAGCGGAAAAAUGGCCAAAAAACGGGUGGGCUAUAGCCUUGGUGGGGGGCGUGGGCGAAGUUCGUCCGCCGGGCUCGGAAUGGCCCCAGACUUUGCGGGCGGCCUCCGUGUGCCAAAAAUAGGCCACGGGCACAGCCGCGCCCAAAACUCAGCCCCCGAAGGUCGGGGCGCCAAGACCCCCCCGCGGAAAAAUGGCCAAAAAACGGGUGGGCUAUAGCCUUGGUGGGGGGCGUGGGCGAAGUUCGUCCGCCGGACUCGGAAUGGCCCCAGACGUUGCGGGCGGGCUCCGUGUGCCAAAAAAAGGCACGGGCAAGGCCGCGCCCAAAAAUCAGCCCCCGAAGGUCGGGGUGCCAACACCCCCCAGCGGAAAAAUGGACAAAAAACGGGUGGGCUAUAGCCUUGGUGGGGGGCGUGGGCGAAGUUCAUCCGCCGGACUCGGAAUGGCACCAGACUUUGCGGGCGGCCUCCGUGUGCCAAAAAUAGGCCACGGGCACAGCCGCGCCCAAAAAUCAGUUCCAGAAGGUCGGGCCGCCAAGACCCCCCAGCGGAAAAAUAGCCAAAAAACGGGUGGGCUAUAGCCUUGGUCGGGGGCGUGGGCGAAGUUCGUCCGCCGGACUCGGAAUGGACCCAGACUUUGCGGGCGGCCUCCCAGUGCCAAAAAUAGGCCACGGGCACAGCCGCGCCCUAAAAUCAAUCCCGUAAGGUCGGGGUGCCAAGAUCCCCCAGCGGAAAAAUGAACCCAAAACACGGGUGGGCUAUAUUCCUUUCGUGGUGGAGCGGUGGGCGAAGUUCGUCCGCCGGACUCGGAAUGGNNNNNNNNNNNNNNNNNNNNNNNNNNNNNNNNNNNNNNNNNNNNNNNNNNNNNNNNNNNNNNNNNNNNNNNNNNNNNNNNNNNNNNNNNNNNNNNNNNNNNNNNNNNNNNNNNNNNNNNNNNNNNNNNNNNNNNNNNNNNNNNNNNNNNNNNNNNAAGUUAGUCCGCCGGACUCGGAAUGGCCCCAGACUUUGCGGGCGGCCUCCGUGUGCCAAAACUAGGCCACGGGCACAGCCGCGCCCAAAAAUCAGCCCCCGAAGGUCGGGGGGCAAGACCCCCCAGCGGAAAAAUGGCCAAAAAACGGGUGGGCUAUAGCCUUGGUCGGGGGCGUGGGCGAAUAUCGUCCGCCGGACUCGGAAUGGAGCCAGACUUUGCGGGCGACCUCCGUGUGCCAAAAAUAUGCCACGGGCACAGCCGCGCCCAAAAAUCAGCCCCCGAAGGUCGGGGCGCCAAGACCCCCCAGCGGAAAAAUGGCCAAAAAACGGGUGGGCUAUAGCCUUGGUGGGGGGCGUGGGCGAAGUUCGUCCAGCGGACUCGGAAUGGCCCCAGACUUUGCGGGCGGCCUCCGUGUGGCAAAAAUAGGCCACGGGCAGAGCCGCGCCCAAAAAUCAGCCCCCGAAGGUCGGGGUGCCAAGACCCCCCAGCGGAAAAAUGGCCAAAAAACGGGUGGGCUAUAGCCUUGGUGGCGGGCGUGGGCGAAGUUCGUCCGCCGGACUCGGAAUGGCCCCAGACUUUGCGGGCGGCCUCCGUGUGCCAAAAACAGGCCACGGGCACACCCGCGCCCAAAAAUCAGCCCCCGAAGGUCGGGGCGCCAAGACCCCCCAGCGGAAAAAUGGCCAAAAAAUGGGUGGGCGGGCUAUAUCCUUGGUGGGGGGCGUGGGCGAAGUUCGUCCGCCGGACUCGGAAUGGCCCCAGACUUUGCGGGCGGCCUCCGUGUGCCAAAAACAGGCCACGGGCACACCCGCGCCCCAAAAAUCAGCCCCCGAAAGGUCGGGGCGCCAAGACCCCCCAGCGGAAAAAUGGCCAAAAAAUGGGUGGGCGGGCUAUAGCUUUGGUGGAGGGCGUGGGCGAAGUUCGUCCGCCGAACUCGGAAUGGCCCCAGACUUUGCGGGCGGCCUCCGUGUGCCAAAAAUAGGCCACGGGCACAGCCGCGCCCAAAAAUCAGCCCCCGAAGGUCGGGGUGCCAACACCCCCCAGCGGAAAAAUGGCCAAAAAACGGGCGGGCUAUAGCCUUGGUGGGGGGCGUGGGCGAAAUUCGUCCGCCGGACUCGGAAUGGCCCCAGACUUUGCGGGCGGCCUGCGUGUGCCAAAAAUAGGCCACGGGCACAGCCGCGCCCAAAAAUCAGCACCCAAAUGUCGGGGCGCCAAGACCCCCCAGCGGAAAAAUGGCCAAAAAAUGGGUGGGCUAUAGCCUUGGUGGGGGGCGUGGGCGAAGUUAGUCCGCCGGACUCGGAAUGGCCCCAGACUUUGCGGGCGGCCUCCGUGUGCCAAAAAUAGGCCACGGGCAGAGCCGCGCCCAAAAAUCAGCCCCCGAAGGUCGGGGCACCAAGACCCCCCAGCGGAAAAAUGGCCAAAAAACGGGUGGGCUAUAGCCUUGGUGGGGGGCGUGGGCGAAGUUCGUCCGCCGGACUCGGAAUGGCCCCAGACUUUGCGGGCGGCUUCCGUGUGCCAAAAAUAGGCCACGGGCAGAGCCACGCCCAAAAAUCAGCCCCCGAAGGUCGGGGUGCCAAGACCCCCCAGCGGAAAAAUGGCCAAAAAACGGGUGGGCUAUAGCCUUGGUGGGGGGCGUGGGCGAAGUUAGUCCGCCGGACUCGGAAUGGCCCCAGACUUUGCGGACGGCCUCCGUGUGCCAAAAAUAGGCCACGGGCAGAGCCGCGCCCAAAAAUCAGCCCCCGAAGGUCGGGGCGCCAAGACCCCCCAGCGGAAAAAUGGCCAAAAAACGGGUGGGCUAUAGCCUUGGUGGGGGGCGUGGGCGAAGUUCGUCCGCCGGACUCGGAAUGGCCCCAGACGUUGCGGGCGGCCUCCGUGUGCCAAAAAUAGGCCACGGGCACAGCCGCGCCCAAAAAUCAGCCCCCGAAUGUCGGGGUGCCAACACCCCCCAGCGGAAAAAUGGCCAAAAAACGGGUGGGCUAUAGCCUUGGUGGGGGGCGUGGGCGAAGUUCGUCCGCCGGGCUCGGAAUGGCCCCAGACUUUGCGGGCGGCCUCCGUGUGCCAAAAAUAGGCCACGGGCACAGCCGCGCCCAAAACUCAGCCCCCGAAGGUCGGGGCGCCAAGACCCCCCAGCGGAAAAAUGGCCAAAAAACGGGUGGGCUAUAGCCUUGGUGGGGGGCGUGGGCGAAGUUCGUCCGCCGGACUCGGAAUGGCCCCAGACGUUGCGGGCGGCCUCCGUGUGCCAAAAAUAGGCCACGGGCACGGCCGCGCCCAAAAAUCAGCCCCCGAAGGUCGGGGUGCCAACACCCCCCAGCGGAAAAAUGGACAAAAAACGGGUGGGCUAUAGCCUUGGUGGGGGGCGUGGGCGAAGUUCAUCCGCUGGACUCGGAAUGGCACCAGACUUUGCGGGCGGCCUCCGUGUGCCAAAAAUAGGCCACGGGCACA
rnacentral:lncRNA from 1 species